UUAUAUAUGUAGCAAUACAUAUAUAACUUAGUGGCAGACGGGUGAGUAACACGUAGGUAACCUACCCUCGAGCGGGGGGCAACUCAGGGAAACUUGGGCUAAUACCGCAUAAGACCACGGACUGGGAUGUUUGUGGGAAAAGGAGCAAUUCACUUGGGGAUGGGCCUGCGGCCUAUCAGGUAGUUGGUGGGGUAAAGGCCUACCAAGCCAGAGACGGGUAGCCGGUCUGAGAGGACGAACGGCCACACUGGAACUGAGACACGGUCCAGACUCCUACGGGAGGCAGCAGUGGGGAAUUUUGCACAAUGGGCGAAAGCCUGAUGCAGCGACGCCGCGUGGAGGACGAAGGCCUUCGGG
rnacentral:rRNA from 1 species